ACUGCAGAGUGCGGCUCCAUCUUCCUUCCAGUUCCGUUCCACCGACAUCCUCCACUUCCACUUCUCCCCAACCCCAACAAGGGGUUUCGGCGACGCGUCCGCGGGAGAUGGACGCCGCGGCGAAGCUCCCGUCCCUCUACGCCGAGCUCGCCGCCAAGUCCUCUCGCGUCGCCGAGCUGGAGGCUAGGAUCUCGGCCCUCGAAACCGAGAACGCGGGCUUGAGGGAGGCCCUGGCGGCGGGGAGGCGAGAAGCAACGGGCAGUACAGGCGAGGAGGAGGAGGACCCAAUCUCUCGUGGAUUGGCGGCAGGUCUACGCGGAAUCAAGCACGGGGCGGUCGAGAAGCGGGGCGGGGGCGGGGGCAUGCCCCGCGACGCAAUUGAGGUCAGCGACGACGAGGAGGGCGCUGCUGCUGUCGGUGCCAACAAUGGGGGAAGCGGAAGCCCGGAGGAGGGCGUGGGUGCCAUCCCGGCUGCGGAGGACGCGGAGGGAGGCGGCGGAAGCAACGGGGAGAGCAGCGCGGGUCUGGAGGACGACGAUGUUUCCGUCACGCCGCGGGGGAAGAAGCGUGGCCGUGGGGCGGCGGCGACGCGGGUCGUCACCAGUGAUAGCGAGGAUGAUGAUGAUGGUGGUGAUGAGGAUGGGCUUGGGAGUGGCAAGGAUGACGACGGUGAUCAGGAGGGCCUCAUGAGCAGUAGGAAGCGCGCCUUUCGUCGAGUCAGUGACAGUGAGGAUGAGGAUGGCGAUGGGGGCGUAGCUCUGCAUCAGGCUGGGAGUGGGGAGGAGGAUGUGCAUGAUAUGGUUCCCAUCUAUGAAUUGCUCAAGAGGGUGCCUAGUGAAGACGGUGAUGAAUCGGAUGAGGACAAAGGGCAUUCCACUCCUGCGGCGAGGCGUUCUGCUCGGUUGGUUAAGACGGUUCCUAGUGAGGAUGAUGAUAAAUCAGAUGAGGCCAAAGGGCAUUCCGCUCCUGCGACGAGGCGUUCUGCUCGGUUGGUUAAGAGGGUUCCUAAUGAGGAUGAGGAUGAGCCGGAUGAGGCCAAAGGGCAUUCCGCUCCCACGACGAGGCGUUCUGCUCGGUUGGUUAAAAAUCAGUCAAAAUCUGACCACGUGUUCCGUGGAGUCAGUGACAGUGAGGAUGAGGAUGGCAAUGAGGGAAUAGCUGCGCCUCAGGCUGAGAGUGGGCACAAGGAGGUUCCCAUCUAUGAAUUGCUCAAGAGGGUGCCAAAAGAGAGGGCGAGUGAGGAUGACGAUGAAUCGGAUGAGGCCAAAGGGCAUGCCACUCCCGCAACGAGGCGUUCUGCUCGGUUGGCUAAGAAUCAGUCCAAAUCCAACCACGUCUUUCGUGGAGUCAGUGACAGUGAGGAUGAGGAUGGCAAUGAGGGCAUAGCUGCGCCUCAGACUGAGAGCGGGGACGAGGAGGUGGAGGAUAUGGUUCCUAUCUAUAAAUCACUUAAGAGGAUGCCAAAAGAGAGGGUGAGUGAGGAUAGCAAUGAAUCUGAUGUGGCCAAAGGGCAUUCCGCUCAUGCAUCUAGGCGUUCUGCUCGAUCGGUUAAGAAUCAGUCAAAAGGGCGAAGAGCUGCAUGUCCGGGUUUCCACUUUGUUGAACCACCCAAGGAUGUUGAAGGAAGUGAAGAUGAUAUGGAAGAAGACGAUGACAUGAAUGAGUUCAUAAAUGAUGAUUCUUCUGAUAAUGCUGGUUCUGCUGAGGAAUCCUGCGACGAAUCAGAUGUACCAUCUGUUCUGAAUGAAAAAUCCUCUCAAGGACUAGAAUUGUCUGAUGGUGAGGUGGAUUAUAAAGAUGUAAUGGCUUCCAUUGGUCGUAAAAAGAAAGCUAAAGAGUGGGAUUAUGAGGCAGAUAUGCUAGCAGCAUUUGGUGAACAUCCUGAGCUUUGCUUGAAGGCUGUUUGUGCCAUCUACCGGAAGCAAACUGAGGAUGAACAGGUGGAAAAGGCCUCUCUAGUUCAUAAUAAGCAGGGAUUUAGCCACAAAGAUGCCCCAAGGGGAUCUCGCAUAGCAGAAUUUCUUCUGGAUGGUGAUCGGGUUGGUCCAGUGAAGAAGACCGUCUCAGAUUUGGAUGAUUAUGAUCAUUAUGCUUUUGAGUUCUGUCGCAAGGUGGCUUCACACUACUCAAAACAACUUUUUGCAAUUUACCAGAACAAGGAGGACCCUUACUUUCAUCCAUAGCUCUGUGCUACAUAUAUGUAACACUGAGGAGCUCUUGUCAGCAAUUGAAUAUUGAAUAUGACGAGGAGUCCGCGCAUUCUUUUCAGAAGUUAUGGGCAGCCUGCAAAUGGUAUGGGCCUGCAAUUAUGGUUUUAUCAUGGCAAUGCCUGUUAACGUAGGUUUCGUUUUCAUAUUGAAGUUGGGGAAAGGCACCAUUCUGGCAAGAACAGCUUGUUUGUUUCCUUUCAAAGCAAUCUGUAUUAAACACAGGGACCCAGCCUAAUCUGCACCCCUCGUUUCCUGACUAGCUAGACAUUUACCUAAUAUAAACCAUUAUUCAGCAUUCUGUCUGCACUCCGCCUCAUGUAUCCAGGGUGAGCUGAGACUUGUUGGGACGGACACUACACGUCUGUAAAAGCAGACCGGAGCACCGUAUACUCCAUUUUGAGUAUCCACGAGUCACAGUAUAAAUGUACUGUUGUUCUUCCUCCCUUGUACUGCACUUUUGAACUGUGAUCCAUCACCCGUAGCAGAAACUUUGUUCCUGCACAUGUAUGACUGAAACUAUUGGUUGGAUUAUUUGCAAUUAUGGACCAAUCUGGCAAGUCUGACUGACUUUCAGUUAAUGUGCC